GGGGAUGCUGGGCUUUGACAGCAGGCCAAGCCAAGAACAUUCGGAACGUGCGCGCCGGCGUCACGCUAAUCGCGCCGGCAAAUAAUAAGUGCCAAAAACUUAUUGGCGAAAGUCCAGAACGCUUUCCGCGUUCCGGCCUUCGCUCCCGCUGUUGCUUAAUUUAAGCUGACAGCCAUCCGCGGCGGUUAGGCCUGAGAGCCGCCAGCCGGGUGUCAAAUUAUCAGGCUGGGCCAGCGGACCGCUUUCGGCCGCUCGCCGAGAUUUUUGGAAGCUGACUCUGGCCGGUUUUGCCGGGUUUUCCACGGCCGGAGAAAAAUCAAAAUCCGCCUAUGUCCGUAAAAGUGUUUUUGGAUGUCUGUUGGACGCGGGUUCAACUCCCGCCAUCUCCACAA
rnacentral:tmRNA from 2 species